rnacentral:rRNA from 1 species
GAUGAACGCUGGCGGCGUGCCUAAUACAUGCAAGUCGAGCGAACAGACGAGGAGCUUGCUCCUCUGACGUUAGCGGCGGACGGGUGAGUAACACGUGGAUAACCUACCUAUAAGACUGGGAUAACUUCGGGAAACCGGAGCUAAUACCGGAUAAUAUAUUGAACCGCAUGGUUCAAUAGUGAAAGACGGUUUUGCUGUCACUUAUAGAUGGAUCCGCGCCGCAUUAGCUAGUUGGUAAGGUAACGGCUUACCAAGGCAACGAUGCGUAGCCGACCUGAGAGGGUAAUCGGCCACACUGGAACUGAGAAACGGUCCUGACUCCUACGGGAGGCAGCAGUAGGGAAUCUUCCGCAAUGGGCGAAAGCCUGACGGAGCAACGCCGCGUGAGUGAUGAAAGUCUUCGGAUCGUAAAACUCUGUUAUUAGGGAAGAACAAAUGUGUAAGUAACUAUGCACGUCUUGACGGUACCUAAUCAGAAAGCCACGGCUAACUACGUG